UAGCGGGUGUCUUCGCCUCUGA
rnacentral:miRNA from 1 species